AGUGUCGCGCUGUGGUAGUAUAGCCAGUGAACGCGACAUGAAUCCUGCUCAGUGCUGUGUCUGUUAAUAUGGUUCAAGCCAACGAAGCACCGGUAAAUAGCUGGGGUAACUAUGACUCUUAUCAAAGUAGCGAAAUACCUCGUCACUUAAUUAGUGACCUGCAUGAACGGAGCUAUGAGGUUCUCACUGUCCCAAACUGUCUCUCAGCGAACCAACUGUAGUGGGAACGGUCACUAGAUAUCCAGCGGGGAAAGAAGACCCUGUAGAGCUUCACUUUGGUCUAGUCUUGUAUAGUUCCUGCGGGGGUGUAGACUAGGUGGGAGAGCAAUCGAUUCUGAAAAACCACUACCCUGUUUGGAAUUAUGCUUACCUAUCACAAGGAAUAGGACUAGAUAGAAAGUUUGGCUGGGGCGGCACACCUUCGAAAGAGCAGCGAAGGUGUCCUAAGUUGAGCUCAGUGAGGACAGAAAUCUCACGUUGAGGAUAAGGCCAAAAGCUCAAUUUACUGUGCCUUUUUGUACUAGGAUCAGUUACGAAAGUAAGGCCUAACGAUCCCUAAAUAGCCUCAGGUGCGUGAGGAUUGGGGUGACAGACAAGUUACCUCCGGGACAACUGGCUUGUGGCUGCUAAGAGAUCAAAUCAACGCAGCUUUUUGAUUCUUCGAUGUCGGCUCUUCCUAUCCUAGUGAUGUACAAGUUGCUAAGGGUCGGAUUGUUCACCCGUAUUAGGGAUCGUGAGCUGGGUUUAGACCGUCGUGAGCCAGGUUUGUUUUAUCCUACUGGAUAUAGCAUCAUGAUAGUAGAUUGAUUUAGUACGAGAGGAACUGUUGAUUAUGGCCUCUGGUUAGCGAUUAUCGGAAACGGUAUGUCGCGCAGCUACCCCGUCUGGGAUAAUGGCUGAAAGCCCUCUUAACCCAAAACCCCAUCUUGAAAGUGAUGCACGUGAUGUUGGAACGAUACAAAUAAUCAUACUCAAAAGGUCCC
rfam:Trichomonas vaginalis G3, whole genome shotgun sequence.